AUGAAGUCGUCGUCCCAGAGCCACAGCCCCAGGACCCCGUCGCCGCGCGCUCGCGGCACCGCGGCGGCAGCCGCCGACCACGCGCGCUCCUCCUCGGAGCCAUGGGUUCUGGCAUGCGUGGACGACACGUGCGUCAACGACGUGGAGAGCUUCGCGCGCACCGUCGCCGCCGUGAAGUCCAAGCCCCGCCCCGACCUGCUCCCGAGCGUGCUGUCCCACUACGCCGCCAAGUGGCUCCCGGACGUGGCCACGUCCGCGUCCGGCCGCUUCCUGCCCCCGGAGAGCCCCACGGCCACGUGGCUCAAGAAGCGCCUGCUCCUGGAGACCCUGGUCGCCGCGCUCCCGCCGGACCCGCCCAACGGCGCGGCCGCGGACGACGGCAUCACGUGCGACUUCCUGCUGAAGCUGCUCCGGGCGGGGAGCAUGGUGGGCGCGGACGCGGCGCUGCUGCGGGAUCUGGAGUCCCGCGCGGCGCGGCGGCUGGACCAGGCGACGCUGGCGGCCGUGAUGAUACCGGCGUUCGGGCACGCGCCGGGCGGGUCGACGCUGCUGGACGUGCCGCUGGUGCUGCGGCUGGUGCGCGGGUUCCUCAAGGAGGGCGGCAAGGGCGCCGGCGGCGGGGCCGGCGCGAGGGUGGCGAAGCUGGUGGACGCGUACCUGGCGGAGGCGGCGCUGGAGGCUGAGCUGCGGCCCGCCGAGCUGGAGGAGCUCGCCCGCGCCGUGCCCGCCCACGCGCGCGCGGCCGACGACGCGCUCUACCGCGCCGUCGACACCUACCUCAAGGCACAUCCAGGCGCCGGGAAAGAGGAGCGGAAGUCGCUGUGGAGGCUGAUCGACGCCCGGAAGCUGUCGGCGGAGGCGGCGGCGCACGCCGUCCAGAACGACCGGCUGCCGGUGCGCUCCGUGAUGCAGGUGCUCUUCUCGGAGCACGGCAAGCUGAACCGCCUGGCCGACCUGGGCGCCUCCUUCAGCGGCACCAGGGUCCCCUGCAGCCCGGCGGCGGCGCUGGACCUCCACUCCGGCAGCGGCCGCUGCCCCUCCAAGCGCGAGGCCCUGGCGCAGCACCAGGAGAUGCGCCGCCUGCGCGAGGACGUCGCCAGGCUCCAGGUGCAGUGCAGCGCGCUGCAGGAGCAGGUGGAGAGGCUGGGCUCGGAGAGGAGGCGCCGCGGCGGCGUCGGCGGGUUCAAGUGGAGCACGCUCUGGUUCGGCGGCGGCGGCGACGUCGCGAGGAUCGAGGACUCGGAGAGCGGCAUGGAGCGGCGGACGCCGGCGAGCGGGAAGAAGGGCAGGGGCAUGGCCACGGCGACGCCGACGCCGACGCGGCGGACCCCCAAGUGGCGCAAGUCCAUGUCAUGA
rnacentral:rRNA from 1 species